CACCUGCUUGGACCUUGGAAGUCCUACGCCGGGUGACAUAAGCCAGUUGCAACAGGACAGACGGGGCACGACCCCACUUGGACGAACUCUCCUGUUGCGGGAGACAAGAUCAAUUCGAGCUUCUAGGGACACCUGCGUUCCUGGGCUCCCGGGCCCUCCCUCCAGACUCCCAGCCAGCAGACGACAUUGUGACUCUGACUAUGGCUUCCAUCUCCAGGCCUCCUUCUCCUCCUCUGACCGUCCCGUCUCCUUCUUAGAAAGACCCUCAUGAUGCUAUCAAGCCAUCAAGGAUCGCUCCCCACUCUCCAGAUCUGUAACUUACACCUCCGUUUCCGCCACAUAAAAGGUCACAGGCUCCAGAUGCUGCUGAUUACGAGGUGGACGUCUUUGCGGGGGGUCUUUAUUCUACCCACAACACUCAUCCUUUCCCUCCACUCAAGCUUGUCUUUCUCCCAGGGGUCCUUUCUCCCAAGGUAACUCAUCAUGUAAAGUGCCCGUCCCAGUUCACAGUUUCCAGACCCCUGAAUCUCGCCUUCCCAUUCCCACUGCUCACACCUUAUCUGGAACCCAGUGGCCACCAGGAGAGUGAAGUUUCUGUUGUUCAUUAAGGGAUUCCUUGCUCCCCGGCCCUCUGUCUCACCGAUAUAGAAUCGGGGUACACGUAGAUCUGAAAUUCCCUACUGGCUCACCCACCAAAGGCAUUUCUUCAGGAAAGCCCUGAGACGGGGGAUCGACAAUCACCAUGACUUCAGGAGAGCGUGGCCAUGAGGGGCUUCCUUUGUCUGGCCUGGGACAGCCCACUGUUUUAGGACAUUCGUCUCGUGGGAAAACACGUUUUGCAAUCCAUGCAAAUCACUUCCAAAAGGCAGUGUCGGAAGGCAGGCUGGGUGUGUAAGAGUGCUCAGCUGACAUUCAGUGUCAUACGUCCAACCACCUGAAGUAAAUCCAUAAAAUAACUAAGCAAAUAUUAAACACACAAGGAAGACCAGGGACAGGUCAACCGAGCCGCCCGCAGAAACCCAACAUCCAUUUAGAGAAGCAGUUCGUGCAGUCAAAACAAACAAAAUAAUUCAGAACUGCAAAUUAUGUAACGAACCAAACAUUUCCUCUGACUUGCCUGGUCCUGUCUUUCGGCAGAUGUCACCUGCGAGGCCAAGCUUCCCGGAGUCAACCGAACCCCAUGGAGACAGGGAGCCACCACCCAUGGCUGGGAGCGCGGAGAUUGGAGCCACUGCCUGGGGACACACUGUGGUACAUACUGACCCUCCCUGGGCCUCAGUCUGUAAAAUGGAGAUAGAAACAGUACCUUCAUCAGGGGUUGUUAGGAUUAAAUGAGGUCAUAUCUGUAGAAGGGUUUAGAACAGGGGCACGCUGAUAGUAAGUGGUAUGUGGACAUCUGACAACAAAAAGGAGACGUGCUCCAGUCUGUUUUAGGAUGUCAGACACAGGUUAAG